UACGUAGGGUGCAAGCGUUGUCCGGAAUUAUUGGGCGUAAAGAGCUCGUAGGCGGUUUGUCGCGUCUGCUGUGAAAACUCGGGGCUUAACUCCGGGCCUGCAGUGGGUACGGGCAGACUAGAGUGCGGUAGGGGAGACUGGAAUUCCUGGUGUAGCGGUGAAUGCGCAGAUAUCAGGAGGAACACCGGUGGCGAAGGCGGGUCUCUGGGCCGUAACUGACGCUGAGACGCGAAAGCGUGGGGAGCGAACAGG
rnacentral:rRNA from 1 species